rnacentral:rRNA from 1 species
UACGGAGGGUGCAAGCGUUGUCCGGAAUUAUUGGGUUUAAAGGGUGCGUAGGCGGCUCGAUAAGUCAGAGGUGAAAAGCAAUAGCUUAACUAUUGUCGUGCCUUUGAUACUGUUGAGCUUGAGUAUACUAUAGGUAGGCGGAAUUGAUAGUGUAGCGGUGAAAUGCAUAGAUAUUAUCAAGAACACCGAUAGCGAAGGCAGCUUACUGGAGUAUAACUGACGCUGAGGCACGAAAGCAUGGGGAGCGAACAGG